rnacentral:sRNA from 1 species
UAAUUAUUCUUUUCUUUUCUCUUGACUCUUAGGAGAAGCUUUCUCAACACUUUGAUACAUCUAGCGGAUUUGGAUUUCUUUACCAACUAACGUUCCUGUUUUUAAAAUUUUAAAACCGAGGGCUUUUGCCCUUCUUCAUAGGUAACAAGAACUCUUUCUUUCUUUACAAAUCCCAAAACCUUAUCUAGACUUUUUUUGCUUCUUUAUCUUACUUUCUCUAGAGUCUUUUACGUUUUCUCAUCAAUGAAUCAACCCUUUUUUUUUUCUUUUAGACACAUCCCAACCCAAAGUAUAAGCACCCACCUACUCCUAUCUAG